rnacentral:rRNA from 1 species
ACGAUGACUCUCUAGCUUGCUAGAGAUGAUUAGUGGCGGACGGGUGAGUAACAUUUAGGAAUCUGCCUAGUAGUGGGGGAUAGCUCGGGGAAACUCGAAUUAAUACCGCAUACGACCUACGGGUGAAAGGGGGCGCAAGCUCUUGCUAUUAGAUGAGCCUAAAUCAGAUUAGCUAGUUGGUGGGGUAAAGGCCCACCAAGGCGACGAUCUGUAACUGGUCUGAGAGGAUGAUCAGUCACACCGGAACUGAGACACGGUCCGGACUCCUACGGGAGGCAGCAGUGGGGAAUAUUGGACAAUGGGGGCAACCCUGAUCCAGCCAUGCCGCGUGUGUGAAGAAGGCCUUUUGGUUGUAAAGCACUUUAAGCAGGGAGGAGAGGCUAAUGGUUAAUACCCAUUAGAUUAGACGUUACCUGCAGAAUAAGCACCGGCUAACUCUGUGCCAGCAGCCGCGGUAAUACAGAGGGUGCGAGCGUUAAUCGGAAUUACUGGGCGUAAAGCGAGUGUAGGUGGCUCAUUAAGUCACAUGUGAAAUCCCCGGGCUUAACCUGGGAACUGCAUGUGAUACUGGUGGUGCUAGAAUAUGUGAGAGGGAAGUAAAAUUCCAGGUGUAGCGGUG